rnacentral:rRNA from 1 species
UACGGAGGGUGCAAGCGUUAAUCGGAAUUACUGGGCGUAAAGCGUGCGCAGGCGGUUUGUUAAGUCCGCUGUGAAAUCCCCGAGCUCAACUUGGGAAUUGCAGUGGAUACUGGCAAGCUGGAGUAUGGUAGAGGAAGGUGGAAUUCCCGGUGUAGAGGUGAAAUUCGUAGAUAUUCGGAAGAACACCAGUGGCGAAGGCGACUUACUGGACACAUAUUGACGCUGAGGUGCGAAAGCGUGGGGAGCAAACAGG